CAAAAUGCAAUGAGGAAGAAAAGUAACGCGGGACAUGGCCGCAGAGAGCCGGGGAUGCUGGGAUCCCGGCGCCAGCGCCUUCGUGAACGAACACUUCUUAGCAGCGACCUGAACCGGAACACCGCAGUAGGGAAGACGCGCAGCGCGGCGUUAAAGCGCAGGGGCUUGUCAGAGUCCCGGAAAAGAGACUGGGUAUUCCAGUAAGUUAGGUGGCACCGCGGAUCGGCAGCAAUUCGUCCUAAAA
rnacentral:ncRNA from 1 species